UCUACAUACCGAAAAGUUACAGAGAUGCAUCAGAGAACGGAUGGCACAACUGGCUACUUUAACGAUGUUCCGUAUUUUACGCCUGUCGAGACGGCUGUCUUCUAUGAAGCUGUGCAAAGCUGCCGCUUGCACAGGCUUCCGGCGCAUUUAAUGGUAAAGUCGAGAUCUAUUCCCUUCUUUACAAAUUCCGACUCUGCGUUAGCACGUGCACUGGAAAAAACGGAUGCCGAUAGGAAAGGAAAGCUCAAGGUAGAGUCAAGCGCACCCCUUCCCAUAUUCACGACAGACUAUUCUGCAAACCAGAUGCUGUUCAAGGCUUCCGGCAAAGACUACGUGUCUCUAAGUGAGGUUUGCAGCAUUUUUGAUGCGUCGACAAGAAACACUGAGUCCAAUACCGUCGACAUCAACUCGCUCAACAAUGAAGCGAUAAAUAAGGUAUGGACUGAGCUGCUUCUCUUCCUCAACAGCUGUAGCGGUUCGGUAGGCAGAUUCGUUGUUCACAACAUCGAUACGCUGUGCAGCAUGUCUGACGGCUCCUGUGAGUUUCUUGUUUCUCUGCUUUUGGCGGGUGUCGCGUCGAUUCUUCGCUACUAUUCUCACAUCGGCGAUCGGGAAGCGCUUCUGAAUUCGGUUUCUGUCGAAUUUACCGUUCUCAACACCGAGCUAGGCUCGAGGGUCGCCGACAGUCUCCAGUUUUUUGUUGAAAAGAGCCUGAGGCUGACAGUCUCUCGCUCACGCGAAGACAAUUUCAAGGCAGCAUACGAUGAGCUAAUUUCUUCCAUACCCUGCAUAGAGUUCUCUGACGACGACUGGAUGGAUGCAAUUUGUGGCGAGAUCGUAGACGCACAUGAGAUGCUGUGCGACAAAGAUACUGAUGCGGCCGGUUCUGGGAGUUUCAUCUCACCCAUAGUGCUGCUCAUCGCUCCUCCAGAGCCUUCUCUGCGUGUAGCUUUGGAGAAACAAAUUUUGGACAGCUACAGCAGCGAGGCUCUACGAGUACAAAGUGACGGAGAAUGGAGCCAUGCGCAGUUUGAUAAAAACGCACCUCUUGUUUUCAUCUGCAGCUCUUAUUGGCUUGUUGAGCAGAUGAGUAUGCCGAGAGGAGAUGGCUUGCUACACCGGCUGAACGUGCAGAUCAUAGUGCAUGGUGGGUUCUGCGAAAUCGGGGACUCCGCUGAGGAGGAAAUUCUGCGCUGCGUGAUCGCCCUGAAAAGCUGCGGCAUUCAAUGGGAGGAAAUGCGAGUCAUGCAGCACAGGGAACCGUCGUACUGGCGACUGGAAGAACCUGUAACCUUUCGAAGCAACAGCGCACUGGCGCAAGAGUGUGCCAAUGUGCUUCUCCUUCUGUUUCGCCGCUUUCUCACUCCAUACUCUCCUUUCAGCAAACAGCCGUACACGUCGCUUCCACGCGACAUUUUUUGCUCACGCCGAGGGUGGGAUUUCUACCACAGGCUGACGCAAACGCUGCGUCUCGCCGGGGUCCUGGCGCCUGAGGCGGCUGCUCCCUUCGAAACAAUUGAGUUGACGGUUUUGGGUCGAUUUUUAUCGUACCGAUUUCGAAUCGGAGAAGGGGCGCUGAUCGGUGACACGCUUACUGUCACUGACGGAAAAGCCAUUUUAUGGGCGUUUUUGUUUCGUCAACCGCUAAACGUUCCCCUCGACGUUAUCAAAAGCUGUCAUGCGUUUGAUUCGUGGGUGGAUGCUGCGGUUGCGAAUUUCUGCAAAACGUACCGACUGGAGUUCGAGCCCGAGGCGAGUACACCACGAAAAGCACUUGUAGCGCAGCUGGCACUUUUCGGAAUUGGUGAUUGUGCCGUUCGGGACAGAGUGCACUAUCUCCUUAGUUCACCCAGUGGAGUUCGGCUUCCGCUAAAACAACACCUUGUCACGGCAGCGCCUACAAACUGUCGCGGAUGGUACGAGCAGGCGCCCUUGAAUGCAGGGCUUGCCCUGGAGAAAAAAGAGGUGAAUGUCUUCUGCCUACCCCCUCAGUCGGCAUAUUGCGAGCUGGAAGCGGUUGAGAAGGGGAUGAGUUUCCACAUACAGUGCCCCAUGGAGCUUUCAUAUCCUCUUAUUGUUGCACAUUCAGUGCUGCACAUUUCGCUGCACAAUGUUUGCGUUUUCAGUGAAACUGCUGACCCCAGCGUCGUGACUCCGCUCCCUGCACACCUUUUGGAGUCAGGAGUGAUGUCCAGCUUGUUGUGUGAAGUGACGAGAGGCAAUGCUGGUUUCUGGCUCGAUGGCGUCAUGAAUGAAAUUGUAUUGACGUCCUCUGCUUCUUCUGUGCUUGCCCCUUUGACGCUGCAGGGAAGGCAAUACAUACCAUACUGCGAACGUGAGCUUUUUACGCGAAAAAGGCUUCGGCAGGAGAGAGAGGCAGUCAAAGUCGGCCAAUCGGAAGAGUUCAAAGGCACACUUCCACGAACCGCAGCGGAGCGCAGCGCUGUGGAGGAGCUGGCGGAGCUUAUCAGGACCAUUGGCAGAGAAAAAGCAGAAAAAGCCGUCCGUGGAAAAAAAGGUUUUAGCUUUUUGGAGCCGUCACAUGAGCUUUACCCAUUUUACCUCUAUAAUUUGAAGCUGUGAUGCAGCAGAAAUC
rnacentral:misc_RNA from 1 species